GGUACUGCCGUCGGCUUGUUGAGGUAGUAGGUUGUAUAGUACGGAAAUACAACACAUAGGUGCGACUGUAUAGCCUGCUAACUUUCCGAGCUGACGGAAUGACA